rnacentral:tRNA from 1 species
GCCGUAGCUCAGUGGUAGAGCACCUGCCUCGCAUGUGUGAUGCCCUGGGCUCAAUCCUCAGCAUCGCA